rnacentral:pre_miRNA from 1 species
UCUGGGUGGGAGCCAUGAGGGUCUGUGCUGUCUCUGAGCACAGUCUCCUCUGUUCCCCAG